CCAAUAGCGUAUAUUAAAGUUGUUGCAGUUAAAAAGCUCGUAGUUGAAUUUCGGGAUUGGCGCAUCGGUCGUGCCUCACGGGGUAUGAACUGGUGCAGUCAAUUUCUCACCUUCUGGAGAACCGCGAUGUCCUUAAUUGGAUGCCGCGGGGAACCAGGACCUUUACUUUGAAAAAAUUAGAGUGUUUAAAGCAGGCAUUUUUGCUUGAAUACAUUAGCAUGGAAUAAUAAGAUAGGACGGCAUGGUUCUAUUUUGUUGGUUUCUAGGACCACCGUAAUGAUUAAUAGGGAUAGUUGGGGGCAUUAGUAUUCAAUUGUCAGAGGUGAAAUUCUUGGAUUUAUUGAAGACUAACUACUGCGAAAGCAUUUGCCAAGGAUGUUUUCAUUAAUCAAGAACGAAAGUUAGGGGAUCGAAGACGAUCAGAUACCGUCGUAGUCUUAACCAUAAACUAUGCCGACUAGGAAUCAGACGAUGUUAAUUUUUUAAUGACUCGUUUGGCACCUUACG
rnacentral:rRNA from 1 species